GCCACUUCAGCUUGCUAAUCCGUCGGGCUAUGUCACCGACUUUAGUUCGUUUACGGAUCUCCUCAUUUCUGAUUCGAUCUCGUAAAGAAACACAAAUUAUUUGUUAUGUCUUCAUGACUUUCUUUUUUGCACGAAACUUAGCACAGUGCUCCCUCCAAACCUUUUUUACAGCCUUAUGCUCACGACAACUCAUAUCUUUAACUGAUUUUAAUUAAAGUUUUACUUUUUUCUUCUUUUUUCAAUUUUUCUUGUAGGGUAAUGUUUCAAGUCGAUGAUAUCAUAAUUGCACAGCUAUACGUUUUUGUUCUAGAAAUUCUUCUCAUGUUUCGCGUAGCUUCUUUUUCAGUGAAAUUUUGAGAUAAUACCUACUAAAAAGACGUUAUUUUAGUGGUCAAAACCUAGGAAAACAGCAGUAUGAACAGUCCCCUGUGGUAUGAACAGUACCCUGUGCUAUGAAAUGACAGGGGAAUGUUCGCCAGGGGAAUGUUAUUUUUACGUGAAUACUUCAUAAAA